rnacentral:rRNA from 1 species
UCCUAAGGUAGCGAAAUUCCUUGUCGGGUAAGUUCCGACCUGCACGAAUGGCGUAAUGAUGGCCAGGCUGUCUCCACCCGAGACUCAGUGAAAUUGAACUCGCUGUGAAGAUGCAGUGUACCCGCGGCAAGACGGAAAGACCCCGUGAACCUUUACUAUAGCUUGACACUGAACAUUGAGCCUUGAUGUGUAGGAUAGGUGGGAGGCUUUGAAGUGUGGACGCCAGUCUGCAUGGAGCCGACCUUGAAAUACCACCCUUUAAUGUUUGAUGUUCUAACGUUGGCCCGUAAUCCGGGUUGCGGACAGUGUCUGGUGGGUAGUUUGACUGGGGCGGUCUCCUCCUAAAGAGUAACGGAGGAGCACGAAGGUUGGCUAAUCCUGGUCGGACAUCAGGAGGUUAGUGCAAUGGCAUAAGCCAGCUUGACUGCGAGCGUGACGGCGCGAGCAGGUGCGAAAGCAGGUCAUAGUGAUCCGGUGGUUCUGAAUGGAAGGGCCAUCGCUCAACGGAUAAAAGGUACUCCGGGGAUAACAGGCUGAUACCGCCCAAGAGUUCAUAUCGACGGCGGUGUUUGGCACCUCGAUGUCGGCUCAUCACAUCCUGGGGCUGAAGUAGGUCCCAAGGGUAUGGCUGUUCGCCAUUUAAAGUGGUACGCGAGCUGGGUUUAGAACGUCGUGAGACAGUUCGGUCCCUAUCUGCCGUGGGCGCUGGAGAACUGAGGGGGGCUGCUCCUAGUACGAGAGGACCGGAGUGGACGCAUCACUGGUGUUCGGGUUGUCAUGCCAAUGGCACUGCCCGGUAGCUAAAUGCGGAAGAGAUAAGUGCUGAAAGCAUCUAAGCACGAAACUUGCCCCGAGAUGAGUUCUCCCUGACUCCUUGAGAGUCCUGAAGGAACGUUGAAGACGACGACGUUGAUAGGCCGGGUGUGUAAGCGCAGCGAUGCGUUGAGCUAACCGGUACUAAUGAACCGUGAGGCUUAACCUU